rnacentral:rRNA from 1 species
UACGAAGGGGGGCGAGCGUUGUUCGGAAUUACUGGGCGUAAAGGGCGCGCAGGCGGCCUUAGAAGUCAGAUGUGAAAGCCCCGGGCUCAACCUGGGAAUGGCAUUUGAUACUCUGAGGCUGGAGUACGGGAGAGGAGAGUGGAAUUCCCAGUGUAGAGGUGAAAUUCGUAGAUAUUGGGAAGAACACCGGUGGCGAAGGCGGCUCUCUGGACCGUAACUGACGCUGAGGCGCGAAAGCGUGGGGAGCAAACAGG